rnacentral:piRNA from 1 species
UUGAAGAAACCAGUUGGGAACUACC